rnacentral:rRNA from 1 species
UACGUAGGGUGCAAGCGUUGUCCGGAAUUAUUGGGCGUAAAGAGCUCGUAGGCGGCUUGUCACGUCGGGUGUGAAAGCCCGGGGCUUAACCCCGGGUCUGCAUUCGAUACGGGCUAGCUAGAGUGUGGUAGGGGAGAUCGGAAUUCCUGGUGUAGCGGUGAAAUGCGCAGAUAUCAGGAGGAACACCGGUGGCGAAGGCGGAUCUCUGGGCCAUUACUGACGCUGAGGAGCGAAAGCCAGGGGAGCAAACGGG